UACGUAUGGGGCAAGCGUUAUCCGGAUUUACUGGGUGUAAAGGGAGCGUAGGCGGCGGGGCAAGCCUGAUGUGAAAGCCCGGGGCUCAACCCCGGGACUGCAUUGGGAACUGCCCUGCUGGAGUGCCGGAGGGGCAGGCGGAAUUCCUAGUGUAGCGGUGAAAUGCGUAGAUAUUAGGAGGAACACCAGUGGCGAAGGCGGCCUGCUGGACGGUGACUGACGCUGAGGCUCGAAAGCGUGGGUAGCAAACAGG
rnacentral:rRNA from 1 species